AUGAGGACGCCAGUGAAAGACAUCCUAAAUAAGGUCCCGCUUACCACCUGUUUAGUUACUUUUCUACUGCUGUGGCAAAACAUCAUGACCAAAAGAAAGAAUAAAAGAAGCCGGGCGGUGGUGGUGCAGCAUGCCUUAGUGAUGGCACACACCUUCAGUCCCGGCACUCGGGAGGCAGAGGCUGGUGGAUCUCUGAGUUCAAGGCCAGCCUGGUCUACAAAGCAAGUUCCAGGACAGCCAGGGCUACACAGAGAAACCUUGACCCCACCCCCACCCCAACCAAUAAAUAAACCAAUAAAAUAAAUAAUUAUAGAUAAUGUGGUAGUUUGAAUGUAAUGUCACAGGGAGUGGCACUAUUAGGAGAUGUGGUUUUGUUGGAGUGGGUGUGGCCAUAUUGGAGGAAGUGCGUCACUGUGGGGCGGGCUUUGAGGUUUCCUACGCUCAGCAUUCUGCCCAGUGUCUUAGUUGACUUCCUGUUGCCUACAGGAUGCAGCUCUCUCAGCUCCAGCACCACAUCUGCCUGCAGCUGCCAUGCUCCCUGUCAUGAUGAUAACGGACUGAACCUCUGAAACUGUAGGUGAGCCUCCCUCAAUUAAAUGUUUUCUCUAUAAGAGUU
rnacentral:lncRNA from 1 species